AGGAGUCGGAGAAGUGAAGGUAGGUGUGUGGGUGGACAGGAGGGACGCUCCAGUAAUUUUAAUUUUGUUUUUGUUUUUGUUUUUGUUUUUGGUAUAUUUAAAAUAAAAUCAAUAUUUGUGUAGAGUUAUAAAUGUUUUAUGCCAUGUUAGAUUUUAUUUUAGUUUUUAGGAUCCACAUCAUGUCCAUGUCAGCUUUUCUUAUCCAAGUCAGCAAACGGUACUUAACGGAGUUAACAAAAAUUUGAAUUAUG
rnacentral:lncRNA from 1 species